AUUCUAUGAUGAGGACAUUCUAGGAUGUAGUCUUGAAAGCGCUCUAAGGCUUCUGGGACUUACUCAUCAUGUUGUUAUUGAAAACUUGAUAUCUUCCUACAAAGAGC
rnacentral:snoRNA from 1 species